UCUCCUACGGGGGGCAGCAGUGGGGAAUAUUGCACAAUGGGGGGAACCCUGAUGCAGCAAUGCCGCGUGGGUGAAGAAGCACUCCGGUGCGUAAAGCCCUGUCAGCAGGGAAGAAAAUGACAGUACCUGGACAAGAAGCCCCGGCUAACUACGUGCCAGCAGCCGCGGUAAUACGUAGGGGGCAAGCGUUAUCCGGAUUUACUGGGUGUAAAGGGAGCGUAGACGGUGAGACAAGUCUGAAGUGAAAACCCGGGGCCCAACCCCGGGAGUGCAUUGGAAACUGCCAGGCUGGAGUGUCGGAGGGG
rnacentral:rRNA from 1 species